CACGUAGGGUGCGAGCGUUGUCCGGAAUUAUUGGGCGUAAAGAGCUCGUAGGCGGUGUGUCGCGUCGGCCGUGAAAACCUGCAGCUUAACUGUGGGCUUGCGGUCGAUACGGGCAUCACUGGAGUUCGGCAGGGGAGACUGGAAUUCCUGGUGUAGCGGUGAAAUGCGCAGAUAUCAGGAGGAACACCGGUGGCGAAGGCGGGUCUCUGGGCAUUAACUGACGCUGAGGAGCGAAAGCAUGGGGAGCGAACAGG
rnacentral:rRNA from 1 species